rnacentral:rRNA from 1 species
AGGAUGAACGCUGGCGGCGUGCCUAACACAUGCAAGUCGAACGUCCUGUCUCGCAAGAGGCAGGGAGUGGCGGACGGGUGAGUACCACGUGGGUCAUCUACCGUGAGGUGAGGAAUACCGGCGAGAAAUCGCCGACAAGACCGCAUAGGCUCGAUGCAAGUCGAGCAAAGCUCUUUCGAGAGAGGGAGCGCCACACGAGGAGCCUGCGCCCGAUUAGCUAGCUGGUGGAGUAACGGUUCACCAGGGCGACGAUCGGUAGCUGGUCUGAGAGGACGAUCAGCCACACUGGGAUUGAGAACGGCCCAGACUCCUACGGGGGGCAGCAGUGAGGAAUUUUUCGUCAAUGGGGGGCAACCCUGAACGAGCAACGCCGCGUGCAGGAAGAAGGUUUUCGGAUCGUAAACUGCUUUUCUCGGGGAAGAGAACGGACGGUACCCGAGGAAUCAGCCCCGGCUAACUACGCGCCAGCAGCCGCGGU